rnacentral:rRNA from 1 species
UACGUAGGGGGGCAAGCGUUGUCCGGAUUUAUUGGGCGUAAAGAGCGUGUAGGCGGUUAGGUAGGUCCGUUGUGAAAACUCGAGGCUCAACCUCGAGACGCCGAUGGAAACCAUCUGACUAGAGUCCGGAAGAGGAGAGUGGAAUUCCUGGUGUAGCGGCGAAAUGCGCAGAUAUCAGGAGGAACACCAAUGGCGAAGGCAGCUCGCUGGGACGGUACUGACGCUGAGACGCGAAAGCGUGGGGGAGCAAACAGG